rnacentral:misc_RNA from 1 species
GAUGAAGAACGCAGCGAAAUGCGAUAAGUAGUGUGAAUUGCAGAAUUCAGUGAAUCAUCGAAUCUUUGAACGCACAUUGCGCCCCUUGGUAUCCCGAGGGGCAUGCCUGUUCGAGCGUCAUUCAAACCUUCAAGCUCUGCUUGGUGUUGGGCGUCUGUCCUGCCUCACGGCGCGGACUCGCCUCAAAUCUAUUGGCGGCCGGCACGUUGGCUUCGAGCGCAGCAGAAACGCGAACUCGAGACCGGCGGAUCGGCUCCCAGAAGCUACCCCCAUGAAUUUGACCUCGGAUCAGGUAGGGAUACCCGCUGAACUUAAGCAUAUCAAUAAGCGGAGGA